CCUACGGGAGGCAGCAGUCGAGAAUCUUGCACAAUGGGGGAAACCCUGAUGCUGCGACGCCGCGUGAAGGAAGGAGUAUUUCCGUAUGUAAACUUCUAUCAACAGGGAAGAAAAUUACGGUAACUGAAUAACAAGCCGCAGCUACCUCCGAGCCAGCAGCCGCGGUAAUACGUAGGGGGCAAGCGUUAUCCGGAUUUACUGGGUGUAAAGGGAGCGUAGGCGGUUUAGCAAGUCAGAAGUGAAAGCCCGGGGCUCAACUCCGGGACUGCUCUUGAAACUGUUGGACUAGAGUGCAGGAGAGGUAAGUGGAAUUCCUAGUGUAGCGGUGAAAUGCGUAGAUAUUAGGAGGAACACCAGUGGCGAAGGCGGGUUACUGGACUGUAAAUGACGCUGAGGCUCGAAGGCGAGGGGAGCGAACAGGAUUAGAUACCCCAGUAGUC
rnacentral:rRNA from 1 species